rnacentral:tRNA from 1 species
GCAGGCAUAGUUUAUAUAAAACAUUAGAUUGUGAUUCUAAAGCCAAGGACUAAACUCCUUUGCCUACC